CGUCUCUGCUCCGCCCCGCACGCGGACAAAUGGGCCAAGCCCAAUAAAGCACAGUAACCAUCACCUCCCCUGACCACGUCCUAGAUUUCGAGAAAUCCACAGACCCUCGCACCCUCCUCCAGAGAUCUUGGGUGCCCUAACAUGCGUGGCCGGGGAGGAUCCCGACCGAAAGGAAUGGGUCGGUCUCCCGACGGCGAGGUAGGAGGGACGUAGGAGCGAGCGAAGAUCCGGCCAAGCCGGCGCCAUUGGUCAUGGCCGCGGCGGCAGCGACGACCCCAUCCAAGUCCGCCUUCCGUGGUGGUCCUAUUCCUUCCAGCUCGCUCCGAGAGGGGAUCCGACCGCCUCUCCUUCAUCACCGGUCAGGCGAGCAUCCUCCCCUCCGACCCAUACCGAUGUAACCACAGGGGAGCAAAAUUAUUUUGGGGGAUUCGGAAGCUUGUGCGUGCACGCCAGAUUGGAUUAGACUGCAGCUGCGUUGGAUAACUUAGUCCUGUUUCAUGUUAUUUAAAGUGCUCAUGUGCUCUAGAUCUCUUCGAUUGGUUAGCAGAUUUAGAUUUUAGAACAUCUGGUGCCACAUAUAUUACACGUUUCGUCCUGCGGAAUCUUAGGUUUCAGAUCACUGGACAUGAGAUUUUGUUAUUUAGAGUGUUGGCAGCGGAGGAUUUAUUGGAUGCAUAACCCGAUUCUCUUUAGAUAUUCUUUUGCGUUACACUUUUCUUAUCAGUAUGCAAAGGUGUGUUAAUGUUUUGUUGUAUUGAUAAACCUUCUCCCAAAUAUAUGUAUUUGAGCUGUACGUGAGGCUCGUACUAAUAAGUCUGAAAAGAAUGUGAGCCCUCCUCCCGAGUCACUAUUGCUAUGAGAUGUGUCUUGUUACCUGCACUUCUUUUUCUAGCACUUAGAGAGAUGUGCAUGCUUAAACAUUAAGUUUGGGAUUUGGUGGACGUCAAAUAGCUCAAAUUUACGCACAGUAUGACUCAGUUUACUCUUUUGAUACGUCCAGAAUAUCUGGUGUUGACAUGGAAGAAGCCCCUAUGCCGGCACUUCCAAGUUUCAGGUUUUCAUCUACCUUAAUCUCCCAUGGUACUAUAUCGAUGAUACAGAAUGCCAGCUUGGAUGGUUGGACCUCUUUGAUGUGCUAGAACAUUGUGGAAUCUGGGAUUGAGUUAGUACCAGAUAUCGUCUUCUUCAGGACCCCUACAUCUUUGAGAUCCUUACAUGUAGGAACGUGAAGUAGGUCUGGCAGGACGGACAGAGGGAAGGUGAGGAAAGCUCCCUAAGCCGAAGGAGAGAUGGUGCCCGGAGGAGCACUAGCGCUUCCUCGACAGUCUCCUCAGGUUUGACCGCGCCUAGAAGAAGAUCGAGGAGCACAUCUGCACCAAGACCGUGGUACUGGUAAUCCAAAUUCAUUCCCGCUCAUUAUGUAGAAGCUUGGCCUUGCCACCAGGCUUCCGCCGCAAUACCCAAGCCGCAGGCUUGCCGUGCCGCAGCCGCCGCAGAGCUCGCCAGCGGUUCUGCACGAGCACCCGCAACACUGCCCAACUGAUGUGGUUUAGAGUCCCAAUGGCUGGGUUAGAAAUAAUUUAGUUCAGUGUCCAUAGGGUUCAGAUAAGAUCACUUUUCACACCAAUAUCGAAAUUCAGAACCAACUGAAUAAAAUGUGAAUCAGUAAUGCACACUAAGUGAUAAAAUUUCACAAUAUAACGAAAUUCACAACCGACUGAAUAAAAUGUGAAUCAGUAAUGCACACUAAGUGAUACGAUUUCACAAUAUUCAUCAUCCAUGGAUUACUAAAUUCACAGUGAGUGAUCCAUGUUUGUUCAGUUACAACUGUCUUCAGAUAUCUAAACCUACACGCUCCCAUUGACUGAAACUUGCUGGUAUGUAAUGGCUGCACAACUAUCUUCAGUUACAAUUAUUUUCAUAUCCAAUUGGAAGCACACAAAGACUUGAACUAAUUUAAGUAGUAGAGAUUUCUAAUUUUUAUAUAGAAGAAAAUUAUUUACCUAUGUUUUGUAAUUCCUAACUCCUAAGCAGGAGAUGUCUAUGGCACUUUUAGAAUCCAACUCCCUUAAAUAUGGUCAUCAUUUCAUGUAUACUUCUCAUAUGGUAUGUCAGCGCUUACAUGCUAAGGAUUCAUCGAACUGUGACAAGCUGAUAGUGUAAAUUCACUAGGAAUGAUGGUUGAGAAUAAAUUUGAAAGGAUAAAUCACCUGAUGAAGUUCUACACUGCUUUCAACACAACAAAUGAAAUGUUUAUUUCACGCUAUUCGCUCACUACGAUCGACAUAUACUACUCAGCAUUUAGAUAAAGUGUGAGCUGAGAUUAAGAGAUUCAAAAGUGUCCGUUUAGAUUAUCUAGAGUUUGGAAAAAAUAGGCCAGUCUUGAAGCAUGGUCACCAAAUAAGAUUUUUUUACUGACAUACUAAUAGCAUUAUGUUAACGACUUGUGACAUAUCAUUGCUUUCCAAGCAUGUAUCGCUAACAGUGUUUAGUAUUAAUCAUUUGUGACCUGAAUUCUUGAUUGAUCCAUAUUAUUUAUUCAAACUAUCACUUAAUUCAUGAUGUCUGUAGAAGCUUGCAGGGGUACUACAUGAGCUCACAUUAGUUGUUUCCGUGCCAAUGGACCUUACAGUGAAACUCCUGAGGGCGAAGCACGCACCAAGGCAAACGAUCAGGAGAGGUGGAGAUCAUCACAACUAUCUCAGUUCAGCAGGAAGAGUGAUUACAAUGAAACGACCAGGCCAGUGUGGUGUCACCUGCGGCCCACAGGAAACAAUCUUAGAAAGUGACAAUAAGAAAUGGAUAAACUUAGAUGCAUAUCCUAAUAUGCCAAUUGGUAAAAAAAAUAGCAAUAUUAUGUUACUCCCUCCGAUCCAUAUUAAUUGACUUCAAUAUAGAUGUAUCUAGAACUAAAAUGUGUCUAGAUACAUCCAUAUUAGAGUCAAUUAAUAUGAACCGGAGGGACUGAGCUUAAUUUGCCACGUUUGCCAUAGACCUAGCCAUCUGUUUUUACCGGCUGAUAGCCUGAUACACAUUUUCACCUUCAAAGCGUGGACAGGGACCAUUGUGUUCCUCAGUUGAGGCAGUUUUCCAUCUUCUCUGAUCAACCAAUUAUUGCAUCUUAUUCUCAUAGGUCUCUCAUUUAAUAUGGUACUGUUUUCUUUUCUGAUUCAUUUAAUUUUUGGACACGUCAUUGUUAGCUGAUUUUUUCUCUUUAGAUUUUCUUCUAAAUUUACUACUGAUUCUCGUUAGUGCAUUUCCAUAUAUCUAAACAUGGAAUCUGGGACAUGAACCAUGCAAACUGAAACUAUGUUUGGCCCAAUAGGAGUGUCAACUACUGAAUUUAAUUGUCAGCAAACAUGCAAUGGCUGUGUUAUCUAUAUUUUCUGUUAGUAACCAUUUCCAUGCUAUACUAUAGCCCUCUAUUUUCUUCUGUCUUUAUACUGCUUCUGAUUGUUUCAAUCACCUUACUCUGCAAUGACUAUGGUCUCUGUGAAAUCAGCUCUUCCUUUGCUUUUCUAAUUUUUAUUUAUUCGUCAGGUUACCAAAGAUAAGCUUAUGGUCUUUGCUUAUAAUAAGAAUAUAAGGUGCAACAAAUCUCAGCUUUCGGAGUGAAGUUCAGCUUUUCCACUUACCUUCCUUAGGGGCCGUAUACUUGGUGCCAACACGGCCCGUCGAGCCCCCCUGAUGGUUUCUACUGCCUACAGGUUUACCCGCCUGUUCAUGGACUGCCCUGUUAUCGUCCUCCUAUCGUAAUAUCUGAUCCAUGCCGUAUCAUCUCUGGGUGUGUUUUACUACCUAAAAUGCAUUCAGCUCAGUUUUUAGUGUAUUUUUGAAGCAAUCAUCUAAUAGCUAUCUUUUCCAAAUGCCUACUCUGUGCUAUGUAUUAUGCUACGUAUCUUUACUGAUUCAUGCUUUUACACCACUUUCCGCUGCUAUGGAAAGUAUAUGUGGUGCCACGCCUACACUACAACCAAACUGAAUGAAACUGUCCUUGACAGCUACAAUCUCCUUCUGAUCAAAGUGACUACAAAAAGUUUCCAA